GAACCGCGUGAAGGAUCAUUAAUGAGAGGGGUCAAACCCGCGGGGGCUCCGGCCCCCAACUCUACACCCUUGUACACCUACCUUUGUUGCUUUGGCGGGCCUGGGGGCUCCCCCCCUUGCCGUCCGGCGGCCCCGUCGCCGGCUCGGUUCGCGCCCGUCAGAGGCCCCUCAAACCCUGUUUAUCAGUGACGUCCGAGCAAAAAACACAAUAGUAAAAACUUUCAACAACGGAUCUCUUGGUUCUGGCAUCGAUGAAGAACGCAGCGAAAUGCGAUAAGUAAUGUGAAUUGCAGAAUUCAGUGAAUCAUCGAAUCUUUGAACGCACAUUGCGCCCCUCGGUAUUCCGGGGGGCAUGCCUGUUCGAGCGUCAUUGCACCCCUCAAGCUCUGCUUGGUAUUGGGCCACGCCCCCUGGGCGGGCCCGAAAGUCAGUGGCGGCCCGGCGUGACUUCGAGCGUAGUAAACUAUCUCCCGCUUUGGAAGCUCGCGGCGGGACCGGCCAGCAAGCCUCUUUUAUUUUCAAUGAUUGACCUCGGAUCAGGUAGGGAUACCCGCUGAACUUAA
rnacentral:rRNA from 1 species